ensembl:rRNA 5S_rRNA 5S ribosomal RNA
GUCUAUGGCCAUACCACCCUGAAUGUGCUUGAUCUUAUCUGAUCUUGAAAGCUAAUCAGGCAAGAGAAAGAAAUAAAGCAUAUUCAAUUAGGAAAAGAGGAAGUCAAAUUGUCCCUGUUUGCAGAUGACA